rnacentral:lncRNA from 1 species
UAUAUACUGGUCCCCUCAUGCAGACUUGGAAAAUAAAAGAUAAAUAACAAGUAACAUAAAACACGUUUCUUUAAGCAAAUAACACUUCCUUUUUCCUUAGCCACUUUUUGAGAUGAAAUUCUCCUCUGACUUGCUAAAGAAAUCCCCUUCUUCAUCCAUUGACACUCUUCCUUCAUCCAGCUCAGCUCCUUUCUCUUCGAGCAGCCCAGAACUCUUUUGCUCUUCUUUUUCCAUUACCG